UACGGGAGGAGGCAAGCGUUUAUCCGGAAUUAUUGGGCGUAAGCGUCCGCAGGUGGCACUUCAAGUCUGCUGUCAAAGACCGGGGCUUAACCCCAGAAAGGCAGUGGAACUGAAGUGCUAGAGUGCAGGUAGGGGUAGAGGGAAUUCCCGGUGUAGCGGGUGAAAUGCGCAGAUAUCAGGAGGAACACCGGUGGCGAAGGCGGGUCUCUGGGCCGUAACUGACGCUGAGGAGCGAAAGCGUGGGGAGCGAACAGG
rnacentral:rRNA from 1 species